rnacentral:lncRNA from 1 species
GCCCCCUCUACAGGGGGCGGGGGAUGGGAUGCAGUUUUCCAGAGUUCUGCUUGUUCCUGUCCAGAAUGCCCAGUGUGCAGGACCGGGGGGGGGACAGGGCUCUUUCCAGUUCUGCCCACUCCUCUGCCAGGCUGAGCCACGGACUGGUCGGUUUUCUCGUGGGCCAGGUGCUGCAUCCCAGGACAGGCAGGAGGGCUGGGCCACCUGCCCAGACCAAGCAGGGACAGGAAGCUGCGGGUGGCUGGGGUGGCUUCCUGCCCCUGCUGCAGAAUCGCGCCCCUCAGGACCGUGCAGGGCUGCAGCUGCCCUACUGUUCCUGCGUUCCCAGGCUGAGGCCCAGCUUCUACCUGGAAACCCCGGCCGGGCCCACGUGGGCACGGGGCAGAGGGCCUUGUGAGGAGGCUGCGUGCAAAGGGGCCGUGAGGACAGGGCCUUAGCUGUUCUGAUCACUGUAACAAGGCUCCACAGGCAGAGGCUCGAAGAUCUGAAACCACGGUCCCCGUCCUAGAGGCCAGAGGCUGAAGAUGGAGGCAUCUGGUGAGGUGGCUGCGUCCCUGCCGCGUCCUCACUGUUGGAGAAAUCCCUCAUCAGCACCUGCAACUUUCAGAAGGGCCCCGAGUCCCCAGAGCCCCUCCCUUGAGACCUCCUCCCCUGCUGAGUUCUAACACAUCACCUCAAGGUGAGCAGCCAGACCUGGAGUCCUCAGCCGAGAACGGGGCC